UACGUAGGGGGCAAGCGUUGUCCGGAAUUAUUGGGCGUAAAGAGCUCGUAGGCGGUCUGUCGCGUCUGCUGUGAAAACUCAGGGCUUAACCCUGAGCUUGCAGUGGGUACGGGGCAGACUAGAGGUGCGGUAGGGGAGACUGGAAUUCCGUGGUGUAGCGGUGAAAUGCGCAGAUAUCAGGAGGAACACCGGUGGCGAAGGCGGGUCUCUGGGCCGUAAC
rnacentral:rRNA from 1 species